rnacentral:lncRNA from 1 species
AACAGCAGGACCAGACACAUCCUCUCCUACUGAGGCCCAAUCAGGCAGUCCAGGUAGGGAAAGGGGAUCCAGUAGCAGGCAACGGAGUCAGAGGCAAUUCCACUCCAACUGUUACGGAACCCACCGGAAGACUUAGCAGCACAUCUGCUACUUGGUCGAGCCCCUGUAUCCUCUUGGAUUGGUGGUUUGGUCUCUGUGAGCCUCCACGGGCCCAGCUGUGGAGAUUUUGACUCAUGACUAUGUGACUAUAGUGAAUUGACCCUGUGAGGAGACAGAAGAGCGCAGCAGAAAAUAUUUGGAGCAUCGGUCUGCUCACUUCAUGCAUGGUUUGACAAGUCCAGGAUGCUGCAGAAGAUUCUCAUGCUGAUUCUGCUAUUCAAGCACCAGUGCUCAACCUAGCAGCAGCAGAGGCAUACUUAAAGAUUUCUCAGGCCUCCAUCCCAAUAAUGGAAGCUGUUGUGAUAUAUGAAAGAGUUGAACUAGAUCACUGGAGGAAAACACACCUCAUGGAGAGUGCAAGAAACAAUCCCUGAUUCUAUUAACGAUGCUCUGUUACACUUGCCGGCGGGAGCCUAGUAUAACUGUCCUCUGAGAAGCACCGCCCAGAAUUAAGAAGCCCAAAGAACAUGAAAUCAUUAUAUUAAUGUACCCCAUAUGGAUAUAUAUGGACUAAAGUGUAUAUGAAUGGACAAAUCUACAGACACUUAAAACAAUGGGUUGUCACUGUAUUUACACAUCAUUGAUAUUGAUUUGGAAAGAGAAUAUAGCUUUAAGUGUUGACAGAAUCAUUGUGGCACUUUUCCUCAAUAUCCUAAGAGAAAAUUUCUAGCUAGGGUGGAGAUUAAAGCACAUAUUUCUCACACCUAUAGCAAAGAGAAAAACUUUGUAUGUCUUAAUAGUUUGUCAGUAUAUAAUUAUUCAAAGUACAUCAGAAGUGUCACAAUAUACUUAUUGAAAGAAAACCACAUAAUAUUUUGCCUGUAACUAAGGUUUUUCUGUUCCUUUUCUCUUUAAUUUUAGAGUAACUGUCAACCAUUUAACUACUGUUACAUGUCCCAGUUCUUUUCUCAUGACAUUAGCUUCAUAAAAGUGAAUAUUUUAGAAUUUUUAAUAAAAUGUAAUGGUUAUUCAUUGCCUUAUUGUUAACAAUUAA